rnacentral:rRNA from 1 species
UGGGGAAUAUUGCACAAUGGGCGCAAGCCUGAUGCAGCCAUGCCGCGUGUGUGAAGAAGGCCUUCGGGUUGUAAAGCACUUUCAGCGAGGAGGAAGGGUAGUGUGUUAAUAGCACAUUGCAUUGACGUUACUCGCAGAAGAAGCACCGGCUAACUCCGUGCCAGCAGCCGCGGUAAUACGGAGGGUGCAAGCGUUAAUCGGAAUUACUGGGCGUAAAGCGCACGCAGGCGGUUUGUAAAGUCAGAUGUGAAAUCCCCGCGCUUAACGUGGGAACUGCAUUUGAAACUGGCAAGCUAGAGUCUUGUAGAGGGGGGUAGAAUUCCAGGUGUAGCGGUGAAAUGCGUAGAGAUCUGGAGGAAUACCGGUGGCGAAGGCGGCCCCCUGGACAAAGACUGACGCUCAGGUGCGAAAGCGUAGGGAGCAAACA